UGUUUCCACAGUACUUUCAGUUUCUCUUCGUUUUGUUUUUCUUUUAUUUUUCUUGCUCCUCUUUCUACACACUGAAGUUGCUGUUGUUUUACAUUUACCUUUUAUUUAUUUGUAGUUUUUGAGGCAGGUUGGAGUGUAAGAAUGCAAUCUCGGCUUACAGCCGCCUCGACUUUCCAGGACUCCCUCAGGUGAUCUUCCUAUCUCAGCCUUCCAAGUGGCUGAGACUACAGGAAUCACUUAAUUCUGUGAUGUCGAAGCUGAAGUGAGCCGUGAUGAUGCCUUGCCCUCCAGUCUGAGUGUUUCAGAAGGUGGAGUUUCGCUCUUAUUGCCCAGGCUGGAGUUCAGUGGCGCGACCUCAGCUCACCGCAACCUCUGUCGCCUGUGUUCAAGAGAUUUUCCAGUCUUCACCCUUUCGAGUAGCUGAAACCACAGGCAAACACCUCCAGGCCUGGCUAAUUUUUUUUUUUUUUCAUAGAGACUAGGUAGCUCCAUAAUGGUCAGGCUGGUCUAGAACACCCAACCUGAGGCGUACCACCCAACUUGACCACCCAAAGUGCUGAGAUUAAAGGCGUGAGCUCCGCGUCUGGCCAUAACAUCUUAUCCUAUAGAAGCCCAGAGAGGUUAGG